rnacentral:rRNA from 1 species
AUUGAACGCUGGCGGCAUGCUUUACACAUGCAAGUCGAACGGCAGCGGGGGCUUCGGCCCGCCGGCGAGUGGCGAACGGGUGAGUAAUGCAUCGGAACGUGCCCAGUCGUGGGGGAUAACACAUCGAAAGAUGUGCUAAUACCGCAUACGUCCUGAGGGAGAAAGCGGGGGAUCUUCGGACCUCGCGCGAUUGGAGCGGCCGAUGUCGGAUUAGCUAGUUGGUGGGGUAAAAGCCCACCAAGGCGACGAUCCGUAGCGGGUCUGAGAGGAUGAUCCGCCACACUGGGACUGAGACACGGCCCAGACUCCUACGGGAGGCAGCAGUGGGGAAUUUUGGACAAUGGGGGCAACCCUGAUCCAGCCAUGCCGCGUGAGUGAAGAAGGCCUC